rnacentral:lncRNA from 1 species
CUGAUCUGCUUAGGGCCAUAUAUACGAAUAAUAGAAUUUCGUCGGUGCGAUGAGUCAGGGAAAGCCUAACGGGCUAGAGCGUGGGCUUUAGAAUGGUAUAUUGAGGACCUUCGUUCACUAAUUUUACUACUUCCGAACUGCUCAGAGGACACUUGGAUUCGAACGUCUUUCUAUAAUAUUAAAUAGGUACUGUGAGAAAGCACGGGAAAAAAAUAUAAUUGAUAUUA